GCCAGUUACUUACAGGUUAAUGCAACGGACUUAAAAUCCGUUUUCCGGCAACGGAAGUGCGGGUUCAAGUCCCGCCCCGGGCACCA
rnacentral:tRNA from 1 species